rnacentral:rRNA from 1 species
AUUGAACGCUGGCGGCAGGCCUAACACAUGCAAGUCGAACGAGUGGCGGACGGGUGAGUAAUGUCUGGGAAACUGCCCGAUGGAGGGGGAUAACUACUGGAAACGGUAGCUAAUACCGCAUACCAUCGGAUGUGCCCAGAUGGGAUUAGCUUGUAGGUGAGGUAACGGCUGACCUAGGCGACGAUCCCUAGCUGGUCUGAGAGGAUGACCAGCCACGUGGGAACUGAGAAACGGGCGAGACUCCGACGAGAGGCAGCAGUGGGGAAUAUGGCAAAAUGGGCGGAAGCCUGAUGCAGCCAUGCCGGGUGUAUGAAGAAGGCCUUCGGGUUGUAAAGUACUUUCCGCGGGGAGGCGUUACCCGCAGAAGAAUCAACGGCUAACUCCGUGCCAGCAGCCGCGGUAAUUC